AAUCAGAGGCGGGUCACCCUGCUGCUCGGUCCUCACUACCCUUGUUGCAGCCCGGAAGGUCCCCCUGCCCGCAGAGCGACCACCAAACCUCGCAUGUGCUCGAUCUUUGUCUCAGGACGAGGGUGCAGAAGCUCGGGCAACGGGGCGUCUCCCGUCUCCCGCAGAGGAACCUCGGCCACUGCAGCCGGGGAACCCGGGCGAAGUGCGUCUUUCCCAGAGAUCUGCUGAGAGCCGAGGCCCGUGACUGGAAUUCCCGAUCCUGGAAGCCUGAGGAGAGCGGAUGUCCACGGCGGGAUGUGGGAGUGUUUGCUGGCUGUAGAAUGCCGGGUAGAAGGUGGCCCCGGGCGAGCUGCGGUCAGGGAGAGCCCGGCUAGCCUGGGGGCCUGAGGUGAGAAGAAUGGGAUUCUGCCCGGGUGGGAUCCGGCCCAGGAGUCUCUUCCAGGAGCACCUCCACAAACCCCGGGAGGAAGGUUAAGGAGACUCCAGAUCUGGUCAACUCCUGCAAAGUUUCCGGCCCUUCCAUUUAUGGCCGGAGAAAAUUGCCAGGAGGCAGAUUCACAGUGGCAAAAGGGAAGUGGCCGAGUGAAUUAUCAGGAUAAUGUCAUGGAUGCUCUGUCUCCCAGUUCCUACCGAAGACUGUUUGGAAUAAAGAACUGGGUAUUUUCAUCUUCUGCCCUCCAGGCCCAGGAAAGAAUUCAGCCAUUCCCUCUCCCUUUGUCUUGACCUUGGGAGUUGGGGAGGUGGGGAGACUCUCGGGUCAAGUUCACUUUUCGUCCUUUAUCUUUUCGAAGAAAUUAGGGCAGUAGUUUGAUUCCAAGAGGGGGUAGCUCCUAAUUGUGACAUUGUGUUGGAGGAGGGGGAAGCGUUCAAGAAAGCUUUUUAAUUUCAAUUUGUUGCUCCGUUCUCAACCACCGGCGUCGCGUGCUGUGAAGGAGACACAAUUUGAGGAGAAACAAAGUGGUUCAAUUGGGGGAAAAACAUUUAAAAGUGUCUUAAACUAGGCACUCGCCUGGUUCUGUGUUUGUUGGGUGCUGCAUUUUGAUCAAAGUUAAGCGUUUACAGUAUUGGGCACAAAUAUUUCUGCGGAAACUGACUUAGAGGGAAAAGGGGACCAAAAUGCUUCCCCUGAAGGUUCGGAUUACACACAAUGAAGUAAAUUCCACAACGUUCUUAAUGGGGGAGAGUCAAAAUACAGAAAUAAAAAUAAAGACAUAUUCUCUAGUUCCCAUCCACCCACCAUCACACAAAUAGAAAACCGGGAUUGGAAAAUUCUUACAAAACAUCCCCGCGUUCCUUCUGUCUGCCAGUGAUUUAAAUUUGGAGCCUCUAUUACUAGCUAGUUUUUGAUCUCCAGUGCCUGGGUUCUGACUCUCAGUGCUGUGCAUCCAAGCUUGCUUUAAAACGUGCCUUUCUUGGGCCAUAAGCGGCAUCCCAGCAUCCCAGGUGAUUGCAGUUUCUAAUUAGUACUUUUAAAAUUUGUGAUAUUAAGAAAAGAGUUGUCAGGUUUUAAGGAAUCCAUUUCUCUAGUGGUCAUUUAGGUCCAGCCUGUUCUCCAAAACUGCCUUUUCUUCCUCUUGAUUGACAGAGCAACAUAUUCGUACAGUCAAGUAUUUUCUGAUAUUUGACUUUACUUCUACAAAGUACUUCCAAUACAUAACAAUACUUUCCAAAGUAUUAAAAUACUACAAAGAAAACAAAGUCCAUACCAUAAGCUGCCAUCUCACAAGCUGCCAUCCCAUAAACUUCCAUCGCAGAACCCGCCAUCAAAGUUUUCAAAGGUUUAAUCUCUGAUGUGUUUUGUUGCUUGUUCUUUAUUCUGUGUACAAGUGUAUUUCAAAAUCGAUUUUUUUAAAUAAUUGUGUGUAUGUGUAUGUUGAGUUUUAAAUUCAGUUUUAAAUUAGGAACGUUUCCCAGUGUCACUAAACAUGUUUCAAAAUCCUGGCUC